ensembl:lncRNA
CCAAAGUGUGGGAUUGCUGGAUUAUAUGCAAUGAAUGAGAGUCCCUGUUACUAUACAUUCAGCACUUGGUGGUGUCGAUGUUCUGAAUUUGGGCCAUUCUAACAGACUCUUAUAAAGCGAAUAGGAAGACCCAUCAGCUUUGGAAAUCACGAAAGAAAUGCAAGUGAAGAUCCCUCUGCACCAUUUAAUGACAUCAGGAAAUUGGAAACAGAAGCCUGAGAGCUCCAACAAGUUACUAAUUUCCCUAAUUUGCCGAUUCCUGUCACACACCGGACUUUAACUCUUUUGUCCACAAAACAUUAGCACUCCUUGAUGUUGUUAAUACAGCC